GAUGAACGCUGGCGGCAUGCCUAACACAUGCAAGUCGAUCGGUAAGGCUCUUCGGAGUACACGAGAGGCGGACGGCUGAGUAACGCGUAGGAACACACCCUGCAGUGAGGGAUAAGACACCGAAAGGUGUUCUAAUACCGCAUACGGUCUUCGGAUUAAAGCAUUUAUGCGCUGAAGGAGUGGCCUGCGUCAUAUUAGAUAGUUGGUGAGGUAAUGGCUCACCAAGUCGAUGAUGUGUAGCUGGUCUGAGAGGAUGAUCAGCCAGACUGGAACUGAGACACGGUCCAGACUCCUACGGGAGGCAGCAGUGAGGAAUAUUUCACAAUGAGCGAAAGCCUGAUGGAGCAAUGCCGCGUGCAGGAUGAAGGCCCUCGGGUUGUAAACUGCUUUUAUAAGAGAAGAUUAUGACGGUAACUUAUGAAUAAGGGACGGCUAACUACGUG
rnacentral:rRNA from 1 species